GAAUAUAUAAAGUCAUUCGCAAAAAGAAAAGAAAAGAAAAAAAGAAAAAAAGAAGAGAUGAUGGGACAAGCAAAAUCCUUACUUUUAUUUUUAUUAUGUAU
rnacentral:ribozyme from 1 species